GGAUGAACGUAUGAGAAGAAAGACCCGGGGCCUUUGCAUGUAUUGUGGUGAUCCAGCUCACAGUCUUAAGGACUGCCCUAUCAUACCUCAGAAAAAGAACAUGGGCAAGUAAACAGAUCUCCGUCCCUGCUAUCGUUGACACCGGAGCUCAAGGCAACUACAUCGACAGCUCAUUAGUGUCUAUCAAUAAAAUACCCCUGAUUAAGAAA